AGCGAACGCUGGCGGCAGGCUUAACACAUGCAAGUCGAGCGGGCGUAGCAAUACGUCAGCGGCAGACGGGUGAGUAACGCGUGGGAACGUACCUUUUGGUUCGGAACAACACAGGGAAACUUGUGCUAAUACCGGAUAAGCCCUUACGGGGAAAGAUUUAUCGCCGAAAGAUCGGCCCGCGUCUGAUUAGCUAGUUGGUGAGGUAAUGGCUCACCAAGGCGACGAUCAGUAGCUGGUCUGAGAGGAUGAUCAGCCACAUUGGGACUGAGACACGGCCCAAACUCCUACGGGAGGCAGCAGUGGGGAAUAUUGGACAAUGGGGGCAACCCUGAUCCAGCCAUGCCGCGUGAGUGAUGAAGGCCCUAGGGUUGUAAAGCUCUUUUGUGCGGGAAGAUAAUGACGGUACCGCAAGAAUAAGCCCCGGCUAACUUCGUGCCAGCAGCCGCGGUAAUACGAAGGGGGCUAGCGUUGCUCGGAAUCACUGGGCGUAAAGGGUGCGUAGGCGGGUUUUUAAGUCAGGGGUGAAAUCCUGGAGCUCAACUCCAGAACUGCCUUUGAUACUGAAGAUCUUGAGUCCGGGAGAGGUGAGUGGAACUGCGAGUGUAGAGGUGAAAUUCGUAGAUAUUCGCAAGAACACCAGUGGCGAAGGCGGCUCACUGGCCCGGUACUGACGCUGAGGCACGAAA
rnacentral:rRNA from 1 species